AGCGUUCUUAAAGGCUAUCUGGGGGGAAAAAAUGAAAGUAUGAAAAAAAAACAUUUUUUUGGAAGACAUUUAGCUAAAAAAGUGUUAAUUUCCCCCUUGUAUAAUUCUGCUUUGUUGCAUUGGACGUCUUUGUUUUGUUAUAUAAGGCGUUGGCUUUAUACUCCGUUAUAGGCAACUUUGCAUAAUAACAUCAUUAGUGCUUUUUUUCCCUACAGUGAAAUGAUCGAAUGCUUUAAUCAGAUUGCUGAAGACUCAAAGUGCCGUGUGGUGGUGGUCUCGGGUGCAGGGAAAAUCUUCACUGCAGGUACAGCAGUAUGAUAUUUUUUUUUUCGGAAUUGGAAAUAUGCUUUAAUUUUUAUGUGGGUUUGCAGUGCUUUUACUCUCAUAGCUGUUCAUUAUUAUAAUAAGCAAUGGCUCCAUGUGCUAAAACCACAACACUAAGUGAAGUUCAUUUAAUUUAACAAGCAUCGUUAUUCGUUCCUAGUGCAGAAUGUAUUACACUUCGAGUUUAGCAGUUAAUAGUCUUUCUAAUUAGGGAUGUGCCAGGUAUUCGAAUACACAUUUAACCUUUUGAGGUGCCAUUAGUUAAGUCAAGUGGGUUUUUAUUGUCAUUCCUCUAUAUAGCUUGUAUACACUGGAACAAAGUGACAUUCCUUCCGGACCAUGAUGCAACACAGUUGUGUAUUUGCACUUUAUGUAGUCUUGCGUACUGUUCUGUGUGAGAUGAAUGCAACACAAUAAAAACACAAAACAGCAAAUACACAGGACAGUAGAUACACAGGACAUGGACUGUAACUGUAAGCUACUGUGUAAUGUAGCAGCACAUGUACUGCAGCAAUACUGGCAGCAGAAAUAGUUCCCUAGUAUAAAGUGACUGAUGCAGCUAUGUAAAGUCUUACUGGGUUAGUGCGGUGUGCAGUGGUAUGAGUCUUACUGGGUGAGGUGUUUGACUAGCCCAGGUGAGCACUGUAAUCUGACUGUCUCAGGGAAGAAACUGUUGCAGAGUCUGCUGCUGGUGGCACAGACGCUCCUGUACCUUCUGCCAGAUGGCAGGAGGGUGAAUAGUCUGUGAAAGGGGUCCUCCACAAUACUGGUGGCUUUGCGGAUGCACCGGUAGUUGAAGGAGGUGUGUGGUGGGUAGAGAGACCCGAUGAUCUUUCCAGCUGUCCUCACAAUUCACUGUAGGGUCUUGCGGUUGGAGGCGGUGCAGUUCCCGUACUACACCGUGAGACAGCUGGUUUGUUUGUACCCUUUAUUGGCAUGAAGUCAAUGAGAAAAUCUGGUCAGGUCUAGCAGAACAGUUACCCCAGACAUUGUGUAAGUUAUAGGUGUUCAUGUGCACUAGGGCUGCACGAUUAUGGCCAAAAUGAUAAUCCCGAUUAUUUUGAUUAAUAUUGAGAUCUUGAUUAUUUAUCACGAUUAUUAAUUGAUUUUAGUGACAACAUUUUUUAUUGCACUUUCACAUUUAAGUUUUCUCAUGCCACAAUAUAACACACAAGUAGGCAUGAGAACUUGAGCUGGUCAAUUAUGACAGAAUUUAGGAACAUAGUGUGAGCCAUGACACAUUAAUUUACCUUCUGAUAAACUAAAUCUAGUAUUUUCAGUUUCAGGUGUGCAGUGGCUUUGGUAUCAUGUACGUGUUGGGAGAAACAGUCUUCUUAGAUUCACUCAAUUCUGAAUGUUCACACUUCAACUGUUCUUUUCCCCCCAGUUGUAUAGUGAAUAUACAGCUUAAUAGAAUGAUUAAAGAUCUAGCAGCAAGGUCGUUUUCCCUAUUUGGGGAAAACAUUUAUUAUUAAAGUAGGGUUGAACGAAGUGCACUUCAUUUGACUAUUUAUUGGAAUUGUAACAAAAUGUUAACUUUAUCACUAUUAGAAGACCGAUUUGUGGUCUUAUCCUCAUUACAGGCACGGAUGCUGAUCACAGAGGAGAGCCUGAUGACCACGAUCGUCCGCACACUCCAUGAUCACCUGAGACAUCCAGACCAGCAGGGACGAUUUCAGUUUGAUCUCUACAGUGCACAAAAGGUCUUUAAAUUCCGCAGGGUCCAGAGUCUUAUAGAAGACCUCAAGUACGGCUGGAAAAAAGCAGAAUGUGUUACACUGUCUGUCAGAGAAUAUCAUUAUUAAUGAUAAUUAAUAGCUAAUCAUUCUCAUUAAACUUUUUUUUUUAAACUCGGAUAUGUCCUGAUUAGCCGUCCAACAGAGUGGACCGACAAGCUCAGGGAGAAGUUUCUGGAAGGACUUGAUGCUUUCUUGGAGCUGCUCAAGUGCAUGCAGUGUGUUUCGUGUGUUUGUAUAAGCCAUGUUAACUUGCAGUUAUAGAUGUAAUAAUCAUGUAGGGGGGGAAAUAUAGCCAUGUUCUUUAAUAUCAGUAGUAUAAUGUGUGUUGGGGAUUUGUGACUUCUGCAGGGUAUGGACCCAAUAGUACGCGACGUGGACCAAGACAUAGAGAUGGAACCAUUGUGGGUGACAGCCUUCACAUUGCAGAUGAAGCUCACACACAUUCUCAGUGAUGCAAGAGUGGUGUGCCAGUGAUGUGAGUACUAACACACUCACCAGUACUAGUAUAUUACAAUAUGUGCACACUCUACAGGAGUUCUGGUAGUGCGACCAUAGCAGCAAAUGCACAUAUUAUUCCUGCACAAACUAAAACCAACAAGAUCUGUCUGAAGAUCACAGGACUUUUGUCUUUGUCAUGUCUUUGAGGUGUAUGGAAAUGAUUGGCUCUGAGUAGGGAUUUCUUGAAGGUCAAAGUUCUACAUGUGGUUGUAAAUUUAAAUCUAUAUAUGGAAGCCUUCAAUUAAGAAGGAAGUAUUCGACGUGCAGGAAGUGGACAAAAUAACUAACAGUACAUGAAAAAGCAUCUUGACAAGCACAGCUAUUGCACUUUAGAGGUGAACAACACGCGUACACAAGUACGAAGAACAUCGGCGUUUCCGAAACUUUUAUAAAUCCGGCAGAAACGUUUAGUUUGGUUUGACUUGGGCAAACAUUUACACACAACUUUACUAAAAGAAACUUGCUCAGAACUACAAACAGCCGUUCCCUCAGCACUGAAACUGGAGACUCCUUCCAAAACACAUGUCUGCUUUCAACAUAUGAUUUUGAUUGAUUUAUUUGAUAAACAACACGCUUUUUAAUCUAUUUAUUGUUAGACCUGUAUUACAUAGAGAUCACGUGUCUUACUUUUAACGUCUUGCUCACAGUGUUUGUGUCCGUGUUUGUUCGUCAGGGCUCAGGACGUUCCCCCGCAGCUGUUGAGCCAGAGAGAGCUGAAAUGGUUAGAGAUGCUGAAGAACUGGGACAAAAGGAUCAACAAGAGAUUUAAGAAGGAGGCGGUUCAGCUGGACGGAGAGAUCCUGCAUGCGCUGUUGAAGUGAGUGUGUCCUGUGGCGUAUCGGCACCUGGACAAGCACAAGAUCAAGCUGGUGCUCUACAUGAUGGAGUGGUUCAUGUGCGCCUUCUCCUGAACUCUGCCCUGGGCCUCAGUCCUCCGAGUGUGGGACAUGUUCCUGUGUGACGGUCAGAAGAGUGUUAAUGGUGUUUACUGCUCAUCUGGAGAGUCACCGCCAUCUUUCUGCAGGGGGUUAGAAGUUCAUCUGCAAGGAGAGCUUUGUGGCUAUGGUCAUGAGGGUCUGAGGUCUGCUGAGGGUGCGAGCCACCACACACUGGCUUGGAGUGGGACAGUCCACACACAGGUACUUCUUCACGCAAUCGUAUUUAUCCUUACGGUUGGUUGAGAGGAUCACAACCACCUUACACACAUGAUUUAAAGUGAGUGCUUCAGAACAAGAAGUAUUGGUAAUCUGUAGACUGAGGCUGUUAAUCUGAAAUUAUCUUAUGCCGUAUGCUUAGACCCAUAAAAGGAUAUACUGUGACAAAAAUCACAUAGAAGCAGUUGCACUGCACUGCGUGUCACAUCACAAAAGGUGAAACGACUUUAACAAAGAAAAUCAAACCGCAAUAUCCUUAAACAUUCAAUUUAAAAAUUAAAUAAAUAAAUAAAAACAGUUUCAUUUGACUUAUUUACUAGAAGUGUCAUGAUCCUAGCUUUUAUUUUCCUUAAUGGAAAGCUUGAGUAUCAGCCGAUACCCAUGCGAUAUUGUUUUCUUUAAGAUCUACAACGCUCAUUAUUUUAACUGAAGCACUCGUUUACCAUUAAACUUUCAUACAGAAACCCAUACAUAAAGUAUGAAUAUAAUGAAUUCAAUCCUAGUGAAAGAACAGUCACGUCUCUUUUACAUGCAUCAGUUAUAUGAUUUGAUUUCUGUUAUCUCUGAUAGCUGAGCCACCGUUUUUUUUUUGGUUUUUUUUGUUGCCAUCAGGUCCUGGAUCAGUGCCAUGUAGGGAUGCACGAUUAUGGCCAAAAUGAUAAUCCCGAUUAUUUAGAUUAAUACUGAGAUCUCGAUUAUCACGGUUAUUCAGUGAUUUUAGUGAUAACAUAUUUUGUAUUGCACUUUCACAUUUAUUAAGUUCUCUCAUGCCACAAUACAACACAUAAGUAGGCAUGAGAAAACUUGAGCUGGUCAAUUAUGACAGAAUUUAGGAACAUAGUGUGAGCCAUGACACAUUAAUUUACCUUCUGAUAAACUAAAUCUAAUAUUUUCAGUUCAUUUUACAGACUGUAUGCACAAAACAACCGUUAACCUGUUUACCUCGUAAACAAAUACAAUAAACCUCAAUGUUCAGUGUUUGAAGUCUGCUCCUCUUAAAUAUAUUUAAAGCUGCACUAUUAGACAUUUCCACUGUCAUGGUUCUGGGCUGGAGUCAGUUCUCGAACCGCUCUGUGUGUAUUGUGUAGAUAUCUGAAUAAUCUCAUAUAGGAUGUGAUUGGGUGAGUUCAUUUACCCGUCAGAUGCAAAGCGCUUUAGGUUAAUGGUGUUCAUUACUGAUGCUCCGAUCAGGAUAUUUACAGCCAAUACCGGUCCAGAUACCAAUCUUUUCUUGUUUAAGCUUUAAAUCAGGAGGUCAUAAACAGUUAAAUGUUAUUUCUCUGCUCAUGGUAACUGUUAACUGAAUUAAAAUAAUAGCAAUGAGAAAUACUGUUGGUUAAUUGAUAAAUAAACAGCAUAAAAUAUUUAUUUUUAAAUAUCUUAAACAAUAAAGAGUCCUAAUUAAAAGUAGACUAACACAAAAAUGAUCCAUAUUAGGAAAAAGGCUAACAGCUUUCUAAGGAAAUAGCGAACCAAGAUUAAUGUCAAACAGGAUAGCUCAACACACACACACACUUUUAUUUCACAUUAUUUAAAAGGAAUUUAAGUGUUAUUUACCAUAAUUAUGAACACAAGUUAAGUUGACAAUCAUUUUAAAAUUCCGUUGCUCCAUUUAGAUUUUCUCCAGUAGAAUACAGCCUUUUAAACCAGGAAAAAUUACUAAUUUUAAGUCGUAUAACAUUCGUAAUAACUAAAAAAACGGUGUAAUUACCAGUCUUUCCUCCCCACAAGGGAGUUUUAGGAAACCAUCAGCUUUUAACCGUCUGUAGGUACUGUAUUUGUCUGUGUUUGAGCGCCAUCUGGAGGACAGAUGCCAUUUUGAA